UACAGAGGAUGCAAGCGUUAUCCGGAAUGAUUGGGCGUAAAGCGUGUGUAGGUGGCUUUGUGAGUCCGCCGUCAAAUCCCAGGGCUCAACUCUGGACAGGCGGUGGAAACUACCAAGCUGGAGUACGGUAGGGGAAGAGGGAAUUUCCGGUGGAGCGGUGAAAUGCGUAGAGAUCGGAAAGAACACCAACGGCGAAAGCACUCUGCUGGGCCGACACUGACACUGAGAGACGAAAGCUAGGGGAGCGAAUGGG
rnacentral:rRNA from 1 species